AUUGAACGCUGGCGGCAUGCCUUACACAUGCAAGUCGAACGGUAACAGGUCUUCGGAUGCUGACGAGUGGCGAACGGGUGAGUAAUACAUCGGAACGUGCCCGAUCGUGGGGGAUAACGAGGCGAAAGCUUUGCUAAUACCGCAUACGAUCUACGGAUGAAAUCGGGGGAUCUUCGGACCUCGCGCGGACGGAGCGGCCGAUGGCAGAUUAGGUAGUUGGUGGGAUAAAAGCUUACCAAGCCGACGAUCUGUAGCUGGUCUGAGAGGAUGAUCGGCCACACUGGGACUGAGACACGGCCCAGACUCCUACGGGAGGCAGCAGUGGGGAAUGUUGGACAAUGGGCGAAAGCCUGAUCCAGCCAUGCCGCGUGCAGGAUGAAGGCCUUCGGGUUGUAAACUGCUUUUGUACGGAACGAAAAGCCUCUUUCUAAUAAAGAGAGGUCAUGACGGUACCGUAAGAAUAAGCACCGGCUAACUACGUG
rnacentral:rRNA from 1 species